CCAAUAGCGUAUAUUAAAGUUGUUGCAGUUAAAAAGCUCGUAGUUGAAUUUCGGGAUUAGUACGCUGGUCGUGCCUUCGGUAUGUACUGGUGUUACUGGUUCCUACCUUCUGACGAACCGUCAUGUCAUUAAUUUGGUGUGGCGGGAAAUCAGGACUGUUACUUUGAAAAAAUUAGAGUGUUUAAAGCAGGCUCGCGCUUGAAUACAUUAGCAUGGAAUAAUGAAAUAGGACGUUCGAUCCUAUUUUGUUGGUUUCUAGGAUUGACGUAAUGAUUAAUAGGGAUAGUUGGGGGCAUUAGUAUUCAAUUGUCAGAGGUGAAAUUCUUGGAUUUAUUGAAGACUAACUACUGCGAAAGCAUUUGCCAAGGAUGUUUUCAUUAAUCAAGAACGAAAGUUAGGGGAUCGAAGACGAUCAGAUACCGUCGUAGUCUUAACCAUAAACUAUGCCGACUAGGGAUCGGAUGAUGUUAUUUUUAAUGACUCAUUCGGCGCCUUACG
rnacentral:ncRNA from 2 species